rnacentral:rRNA from 1 species
UCAGCUAAGUGGCGGACGGGUGAGUAAUGUAUAGUUAAUCUGCCCUUUAGAGAGGAAUAACAGUUAGAAAUGACUGCUAAUACCUCAUACUCCUUCUUUCUUAAUGGAAGUUGGGAAACGUUUUUUCGCUAAAGGAUGAGACUAUAUGGUAUCAGGUAGUUGGUGGGGUAAGAGCCCACCAAGCCAAUGACGCCUAGCUGGUCUGAGAGGAUGAUCAGCCACACUGGAACUGAGACACGGUCCAGACUCCUACGGGAGGCAGCAGUGGGGAAUAUUGCACAAUGGAGGAAACUCUGAUGCAGCAACGCCGCGUGGAGGAUGACACAUUUCGGUGCGUAAACUCCUUUUAUAUGGGAAGAUAAUGACGGUACCAUAUGAAUAAGCACCGGCUAACUCCGUGCCAGCAGCCGCGAUAAUACGGAGGGUGCAAGCGUUACUCGGAAUCACUGGGCGUAAAGCGCGCGCAGGCGGCUAUUUAAGUUGGAUGUGAAAGCCUACGGCUCAACCGUAGAACUGCAUCCAAAACUGUUUAGCUAGAGUGUGGGAGAGGAAGAUGGAAUUAGUUGUGUAGGGGUAAAAUCCGUAGAGAUAACUAGGAAUACCAAAAGCGAAGGCAAUCUUCUGGAACACUACUGACGCUGAGGCGCGAAGGCGUGGGGAGCAAACAGGAUUAGAUACCCUGGUAGUCCACGCAGUAAACGAUGAAUGUUAGUCGUCGGGUAGCUAGUCUAUUCGGUGAUGCAGCUAACGCAUUAAACAUUCCGCCUGGGGAGUACGGUCGCAAGAUUAAAACUCAAAGGAAUAGACGGGGACCCGCACAAGUGGUGGAGCAUGUGGUUUAACUCGAAGAUACGCGAAGAACCUUACCUAGCCUUGACAUAUAUUAGAACACCCUAGAGAUAGAGUGGUGCCUUCGGGAGCUUUUAUACAGGUGCUGCACGGCUGUCGUCAGCUCGUGUCGUGAGAUGUUGGGUUAAGUCCCGCAACGAGCGCAACCCUCGUCACUAGUUACUAACGGUUCGGCCGAGGACUCUAGUGAGACUGCCUUGUAAGGAGGAGGAAGGUGAGGACGACGUCAAGUCAUCAUGGCCCUUACGGCUAGGGCAACACACGUGCUACAAUGGUUGGGACAAUGAGA